rnacentral:rRNA from 1 species
UACGGAGGAGGCAAGCGUUAUCCGGAAUGAUUGGGCGUAAAGCGUCCGCAGGUGGCUGUGUAAGUCUGCUGUCAAAGAGCAAAGCUCAACUUUGUAAAGGCAGUGGAAACUACAUGGCUAGAGUGCGUUCGGGGCAGAGGGAAUUCCUGGUGUAGCGGUGAAAUGCGUAGAGAUCAGGAAGAACACCGGUGGCGAAAGCGCUCUGCUAGGCCGCAACUGACACUCAUGGACGAAAGCUAGGGGAGCGAACAGG